rnacentral:lncRNA from 1 species
UCUGGUACUAGGCUGUGGUGAUCUAAUACCGCUGUACCUCCUCAUUCUGCUGGUAACAUUUAUUAUAAAUCUAACAAACUUUGUUAAAAGUUUAAUUUUUAAUGACGGUGGUGUCUGAGCCAGCUUCCCUGCACCUCGACUAGUCCACCGGGUGCCUGCUACCUCCCACUAGCACAGGGAUCGUGUAACUCUGUCCACCAAGGCAUACUGGUACUUUUUUAUUUUAAUUUGACUCUAUAGGUAGGUAUCGACGGGGCUUGCGUAAUGUAGUUGUAGUUAAGGCUGAAGUAGCGCUUUUUAUUUUAGAAGAUCUACUGAAGUACCAAAGGCGAACGGGGCUCCCAGGCCGGGACGUCUGGCAGAAUGCUUGGCCUCCUGCGUUGGAAGCGAGGCAUAGGUAGUAUUUUUUUUUUCCUUCGCUGAGAUUUGAACCUGAGGCAUCAUGGUUUUCCUCCCACUUCAUUGACACUGGAUGACAC